UACUGACAGGCUCAGAAAUGUUAAGAAGAUGCUUAAAAGAAAUGGGCUCAUGAGCCUUCUUUGCUGAAGUAUUAAUUACUAGAUCUGAAUGUUUUGCUUUUCUGUGAUGGAAAACGUGAAGAAAAUAGGGCUUUUUUUUUUCUUUUGAAGAGAUGGGAUUUCCCUCUGUCGCUUAGGCUUAACUGCAGUGAUUCAGUCAUAGCUCACGGCAGCCUCAAACUCCUGGACUCAAGCAAAUGACUGAUAUUUUUUGAGCACCAGCAGUAACGAUAGUUACUAUUCACUGUUUUCUCCCUGCCAGGUGUUCCACAGACAUCCUACAUGCAUGACAUUGAUUCACUCUUACAUUUGACAGGAUUGCAGGAGCUCCUCAGACAAGAUCUGUGGCAACAGUAACAAUAAAAGCAUCCCAUGCGGACCAAACUCC
ensembl:lncRNA novel transcript, sense intronic to C16orf95